rnacentral:lncRNA from 1 species
CACCCCCUGACACUAGCACACUGGACUAAGUUCAGUGUGUGAAUCUGAGCAGGGGACCCAUAGCUGUGCACCCUCCCUUCAGAGCCCAGCAGUGUCACCUUGUGGGUGUCUCGAGGCACAAUAAAAACCCAGCACAGCACCCAGCACCUCGUUGUGCGGUAAACCAUCUUGACCAAGGAUCUGAACAGCGACUUUCAGAGGACGAAGAAGGACUGGCAAUUUCAACUGGAAAGCAGAUAGCAUCUGAUGGUGUGUGGAGAUGAGCUUUCAGAACUGGAGGGCUAGCAGGGGAGCGAGAUGGCUCGGGACUGACAACUACUGGGUUUCCUUAGCAACUGAGGACUUAGCUAAACCUGUGGCCCAGUGUGGGCUGGAGCAGGCAGCAUCUGGAAAGAGGGACCCAUCACUGAGCCUUUCCAGGAGGCCCCCGCACCUUACAGUUCAGCUCACUGUGAAGUGUCAGAAGCUUGUAGAGGCUGCCCUGAGGACCGACAGUGGAUGGCUUCACAUCCCGAGCCCACACUGUGCCUCUGAGGAGUGACAUGCGGCUAC